AUACUUACCUGGCAAGAGAGACACCGUGAUCAAGAAGGCGGUUCACCCAGUGCGAGGCUCAGCCAUUGCACUCCGGCUGUGCUGACCCCUGUGAAUUUCCCAAAUGUGGAAAUCUCGAUUGCAUAAUUUCUAGUAGUGGUGGACUGCAUUCGCGCUCUCCCCUG
rnacentral:snRNA from 8 species